CCUGUUUGGCUUAAGUAUGUUCCAGGGAUUAGCUUCAGAACAGAUAACGGUCCUUUCAAGGCUCAAAUGCAAAGGUUUACUACAAAGAUUGUUAACAUGAUGAAAGCUGAGAGGCUGUUUGAAUCCCAAGGCGGUCCUAUAAUCCUCUCUCAGGU